UGGCAGGAUUGCUACACACCCAAAAGAGUUAGCGUGUGACUCUAAUCACCCUAUUAGAGGAACAUUUGGAAGGAACACAAACAAAAUAGUACCGGUACUAAGAAAAACAAGACUCUUUAUUUUAAAGGCGCCAUUUUAUUUUCUUUGUUAUUUUUCAUACCAUUGUUUAUAUAAAUGUUGUAAACUUUUGUUAUACAAUACUCCCUAAAAGAGUUUACUUUUGCAAUUUACUUCAUGGUUGGUGUUGUUCAUUGUUCGGCUGUUCAGGUCUAUGGUACAUGAGCUCUUUCCGAACCUAGCCAUUCAGUGUAUCUACUAUAAGUGGGUUACACUUUCAUGGAGUGUUUUAAAAUUCAGCAAAAGCAGGAUGUGGAAAAACCAAGCUCCAAGUUAAAACACAGUGUCAUUCAGUAUGUUGCAAUGUCUCCCUUUGUAGUUCACAGUUAUUCAGAAUCACAGUUACAUAUUCUCCAUUAACAACAGAAGAAGAAUGAUUGUCUGUUAUAUAUGGAUGCAACUGGCAGUGUAGUUGCAAAACCUCACCCCUCCAGCCAAUCAGUACUAUAUUAUGCACUUUGCACACCAUGCCAGUCCACAACCCAAACUGUGGUUCCAGUAGCAGAAAUGCUGACAUCAGACCAAACCACUGCAACAAUUCUACACUGGUUGACUUGCCUGCAUCGGGAUUAUUACAAGCUGUUCCUGAAAGACUUGAGGCCACAAAAAAUCGGAACAGAUUUCAGUUGGGCCAUGAUCCAUGCAGUUGUUCAGGCAUUCAACAAUGUCAGCAUUCAGCAGUAGUUACGACUUUGUUUUCAGGUAUGCCAAGAGCAGCAGACAGUGCAAAUGACUGUGAUACACCUCUGUGCUGCUCACAUGCUUAAGCUGAUAAGCAUGAAACUGAGCAAGGUGCAGUGCAAAAAAGAAAAAAAAAAUCUUUUCCUGUACAGCUUUGCCCUUCUCCAAAAUGCCACAGAUUUAUGUGUGAUCUUGUCAAUUAUAAAGUCCCUUGUGUUUGUGUUCAAGGAAUGAGACAAAAACGUGUCAGGAACAUCUGUCAACACUGCAGGAAGCCAUUCAGACACAGAAGACAGACAAAAUAAACAUCAAAAAUGCAGAUGAUGAUUAACCAAGUCUCUGAGGACCUGCAUAAAUCAAUCAGAAAGUCAUCACCUUUCUUUGCUCCCAUCGAAGCUGUGGUAAAGGAAACAAAUGAUAAAGCAAGAAAGAAAGAUGAAGCAGAGGGUGCAGCACAAAAAAAUAAUACCCAUUUCUGUGAGUCUGUGUUGGGCAUUCUUUUAGACUAUGCAGGUGCAGUUCCCCUUUGGUCAGGUGUUAUGCUAAAACAUCUUGGCAAAACUAGAGACAGUAAUGCCAUAGUAGAAAAUUGGUUCCGCACAACAAAAAAUGUGGUUCUGACAUCAAAGCUGCACAGAAGAGCAGGAGAUUUUCUGCAGCUCCAGCAACAGUUUGUUGAGGGAAGAAUCAAAGGAAUGUUACUGAAAAAGCAAGUACCACAGACGAAACAGCCUUUAUCAGACAAUGAUGAUGGAGAGGACAUUGAUGGUCCAGACUCUCUUCCCCAUCGCAAGAAGAGAAAUGGAAAAAGCGAAGUACUCGAAAGAGAAAGUCGAAGUAUUUCAACUCUCCUCCUCCAACAAAAAAGCGUCUUGUGGCAAAAUCUGCAAAAUCUGCCAGCCAAAAACAUCCAAAGACAAAGAGUCACAUCAAAGGUGCACCACCCCAACAACCACAAAAAAGACAGGGAUGCUGUCCAUAUUGGGGAGGAGAAGGGUUAAUUGAGAAGCAAACAGUGUCAAUGACAAAUGCAUGUACAGUGGACAACCUCCUGUACAUGCUUCACAUGGCUAUCAAGAGGAGACCAGGGAUUAGCACUGAGCUUAAUGCAAGGUCCAAUAAUUGGAUUUCCACCUUACUGUAAGUCCACAAACUUUUUGAAAAGGAGUGGUCCCAGGGAAAAUUAUUGUGGCUAAACGCCAUUGGCCGAUUUAAAGGGACUUCAUGGGAUGCUUAUGGGACAGAGGAAGACAUGGUUGCAUGUUGUCUCGAGUAUCUCAUGACAACAGAAAUCAUGCAAAAGUGCAAUAAUGCAGCUUGUCCUGUUGUGAGAAGACGAGUCAACAGUAUUGACAUCUUAGGUCCUGCCCCAUGCACUGACAGUGAGCAGACACUGCAGCGUGUCUUCGUGAAUGGACAGCCAUGUGUGUUACUGGUCUCAGUGAUACACCAAGCCAAUCUCAGUGACAAGCUGCAUCCUGCAGCCUUGCCACACCUGGUGACAAUUCUUGGUGGAAAGUACGAGCCAGCUGCAGUGACAUACCACCUGCCACUUUGUGGCAUUCCACAAACUGGGCGCUGACAAAGGCUGGCAUUUUUAUGAUGGCCUUGAGGAAAUGCUCAACCCUGGCAAGGGUGAUGUUGUCAUCACUGACACAUUAAGGAAAAAGAAACAUAAUAAGGCUAAGUGUAAAGUUAGCCACAUUGUCAUGUUCAGGGUAAGUAUGGACAUUAAUUAUGGCAUAACACUGUCUUGACUUCUAAAACUAGUUUUCCUUUGUAUUUCAACAGAUAACAACAAUAUUCAUGUCUUUCGGUUCACAAACAAGAAAUUGAAAUUAAUCACAGUAUUAACUAAACGUG